rnacentral:rRNA from 1 species
GAUGAACGCUGGCGGCGUGCCUAAUACAUGCAAGUCGAGCGAACGGACGAGAAGCUUGCUUCUCUGAUGUUAGCGGCGGACGGGUGAGUAACACGUGGAUAACCUACCUAUAAGACUGGGAUAACGUCGGGAAACCGGAGCUAAUACCGGAUAAUAUUUUGAACCGCAUGGUUCAAAAGUGAAAGACGGUCUUGCUGUCACUUAUAGAUGGAUCCGCGCUGCAUUAGCUAGUUGGUAAGGUAACGGCUUACCAAGGCAACGAUGCAUAGCCGACCUGAGAGGGUGAUCGGCCACACUGGAACUGAGACACGGUCCAGACUCCUACGGGAGGCAGCAGUAGGGAAUCUUCCGCAAUGGGCGAAAGCCUGAUGGAGCAACGCCGCGUGAGUGAUGAAGGUCUUCGGAUCGUAAAACUCUGUUAUUAGGGAAGAACAUAUGUGUAAGUAACUGUGCACAUCUUGACGGUACCUAAUCAGAAAGCCCCGGCUAACUACGUG